CCUAACAUUAUUAAUGACAGAAGGGAAGGGUAUGAUCAUAAUGGGGGGAGAUUUUAAUUUAAUUAUGAAUCAAAAGGACACACAGAGCAAAAUAAAACAUAAAGCAGAACAAGCUGCAAUGUUAAUGAAGAAAGCCCAAAUCGAGUUGGGGCUAGUAGAUGUGUGGCGCUGCUUACACCCCCAGGAAAAGGCUUUCACUUUUUUCUCUGGUGCUCAUGACGUCUACUCAAGAUUAGACUAUUUUUUUAUUUUUAAGAAUGAGAUUUCAAAGGUCAUAAAAUGUGAAAUAUUACCCAUAGCAAUAACAGAUCAUGCACCAGUUAUAAUGGAAAUAAACCUGAAAAGGGAACAAGGGGAAACAUUAUGGAGGUUAAAUAACUCACUGCUGGAGGAUCAGAGUUUCAAAGUGAAGAUGGAACAAAGUGUGAAGUCUUUUUUUGAGAUAAAUGAUAAGGAAGUGACACCUAUUAUUCUAUGGGAAGCGGCAAAAGCAACUAUAAGGGGUGAAAUAAUAGCAUACUCAUCUCAUCAAAAGAGGAAAAGGGAAAGAGAAAAAAAAUUUUUGGAAAAUGAAAUAAAAAGACUUCAGGAACAGCAUGAAAGAAACUUGAACAAAGAAACAUACAGACAACUGAAAACAGCGAAAAAAGCUUUAGACACUAUAGAAAUACAUGAAAUUGAAAAGGACCUUAUGCUGUGUAGGCAGACUUAUUACGAUAACAGUCCAAAAGCAUUGAAAAUAUUAGCAACCAAAUUAAAGAAACAAAAAGAAAAAAGUGCAAUAGUAACUAUUAAGGAUGGAAAUGACGAGCCCCAGAGAGGUAAAUCAAAUAUAGCAGCAUGUUUCAGAGACUAUUAUCAAACCCUUUAUACUCCAGAACAAGCAGAUGUGAGCAUGCAAAAUAUUAAAGAGUAUCUAACACCUCUAAACCUUCCUGUAGUAACAGAUACACAAAAUAAAGAUUUAGUUAAACCAAUAACAGAAGCCGAAAUUACAAAGGUUAUACAGAAAAGCAAAACUGGGAAAAGCCCUGGAAGUGAUGGCUUUACAAAUGAAUUUUUUAAGUGUUUUAGAGUUUUGUUAUUACCUAUCCUUGGCAGGGUCUUUAAUUACAUUUUAGAAACAGGAGUGUGGCCAGACACCUGGAAUUCUGCAAUUAUUACUGUAAUACCAAAAGAAGGAAAAGAUUUGACAAAUUGCUCAUCCUACAGACCGAUAUCUCUUUUAAAUGUUGAUCAAAAGAUAUUCACAUCAAUCAUAGCCAAUAGACUCUCACACAUACUCCCAGAUAUAAUUAAUUCAGAUCAAACUGGAUUUGUCAAGGACCGUCUUUUAAGUGAUAAUUUGAGGCGUACUCUCAAUAUUAUAGACCAAACAGUGAUGAUGAAACAACAGAUGCUGACAUUAAGCUUAGAUGCCGAAAAGGCUUUUGAUAGAGUCUCUUGGACGUUUUUACUAGGAGUAUGUGAGAAGUUUGGCUUUCAUAAAACAUUUAUUACACUGAUUGAAGGAAUGUAUAAAGAACCAAAUGCAAGAGUAAGAGUUAAUGGGAUGCUAUCUAAGACCAUCAAUUUGAAACGAGGAAUAAAACAAGGAGAUCCCAUAUCACCCCAAAUUUUUAAUUUAUGUAUUGAACCUUUAGCAGAACAAAUUAGGAUAAAUAAUGAAAUAAAGGGAGUUAAUGUAAAGGGAGAAGAACAUAAACUAGCAAUGUAUGCAGAUGAUAUCAUUGUAUACCUCACAGAAAUCCGCCAAUCUCUGCCUAGUUUAUUAAAGGAAAUAACAAACUAUAGUAUUAUGUCUGGCUACAAGCUAAAUUUAAAUAAAACAGAAGCGAUGUUAGUGGGGGGCCAUCUGGAAAAUGAAUUUAAAAAACAGUUUAAUAUAAAAUGGGAUCAGAAUAAAGUGAAAUAUUUAGGAGUAAUCAUACCUAACAAUUUUGACGAAUUAUAUAAUUGCAACUAUGUGCCCUUGGAAAAUGCUGUGAAACAAGAUCUCAGUAGAUGGAAAAUAACACCCCUGACUCUCCUAGAAAGAAUUAAGAUUAUAAAAAUGUAUGUUCUGCCACGCUUCUUAUUUUUAUUCCAAAACUUGCCUUUGUAUAUAUCACCGACACGCUUCCAUACUUGGGAGGGAAUGCUGAGAAAAUUUAUAUGGGACGCUAAGAAGCCAAGAGUUAAAUUAAAAUUAUUGCAACAGAACAAAGACAGAGGUGGGUUGGCCUUACCUAAUCUGUGUCAUUAUUACUAUGCAGCACAGAUUAAACCUAUACUGAUAUGGAUGAACAAUAAGAGAAACCCUAAAUGGAAGCGUAUGGAAUUGAGUCUGGUCGAGUCACUCAGCACAUUGAUCUUUACACCUUAUGAUAAAGCACAGAUGAAAACACUCAACUACUCUAUACGUAAUACUUUUAGGAGUUGGAAAACCAUCUGUAAAAUGUGUAAAAUCAAGGAACAAGAAGCUACCUGUAUGAGAGAAAUGUCAUGCGACUCAGAUUUCACUCCAAAUAGAAUAGAUCAGGUUUUUAAGAUAUGGGAAGGGAAAGGUCUUCAGAGAUUCUUUCAAAUGUAUAAUGACCAAGGAAUGGUCUCUUUUGAAGAUAUAGUAGAACAAUACAGUCUUCCUAGAAAUCAUUUUUUUAGAUAUCUGCAAGUGAGAAGCUACCUAAAAGAUAAACUUAAAAUUAGAACUCUUGGAAACCUUCACCCUAUCCUGAGAUACGUAACAAAAUCUCAUCAAAGACAUGAUUACAAAAACACAAUUGGACAACUUUAUCAAAUAUUUCAGGAAAACUUUGUUGAAGAUCUAGAUAAUAUUAAGGAAAAAUGGGAUAAAGAGCUGAGAAUUACUAUAGGAAGAAAUGAGUGGAAUCAGAGUUUCAUGGACAUUUUCAAACACAUAAGAUCUCCCUUCUGGCAGGAAUAUGCCUGGAAGAUGAAUAUACGGUACUUCCAAACACCACUGUCCGUAUCAAAGUACACAUUAAACUCUAAUUGUUGGAGGGAAUGUGGGGAGAAUAAGGCUGACCAUACCCAUAUAUUUUUUACAUGUUCCAAAGUACAAAGCUUCUGGCUGAAGGUCUCACACACUAUAGAACAAAUAUUUGGAAGAGAUAUUCAAUUAGAAAAUCACAAUAUAAUUCUAGGAACACGUCCCAAACGAUUGAGGAGCCAAGAUCUUUAUCUCUUCUGUAUACUGAGAAUGACUGCACUCAAACAAAUUACAAGAGGUUGGAAAAGUGUGGACCACCCAAGGGUGGAUAGGUGGCUGGAAACAAUGGAAAAUAUGUAUUUAAUGGAAAAGGUGACAUAUAAAAUUAAUGGCAAGGAAACUUUGUUUGAGAAAAGAUGGGUCUCUUAUCUUUCAAAUAAGGAUAACCUGUAUGCCUAAAAACUGAAUUUUCAUUGCUGAAACAAACACAACAAAGCCUAUUUUUUAUUUUUUUUUCUAUUUUAUUUAUUAACAUGUUUUUGUGUAGAAAUGUCAUGUUUUACGUCUCUGUUUGAGUUUAUUUCUGUGUGAGAAAAAAAAAAAAAGGGUCAAAAUGUCUGUAAAAAAGUGAUAUAAAUGAUGAAAAAGAAACAUUGAUGAAAUGGCAAUUGAUUUGUAUUGCUAUAUGUUACGGACCUAAUAAAGUAUUAAAAAAAAAAAAAAAAAA